CUACGGGACGCAGCAGUGGGGAAUAUUGGACAAUGGGGGAAACCCUGAUCCAGCAAUGCCGCGUGUGUGAAGAAGGCCUGCGGGUUGUAAAGCACUUUCGGUUGGGAGGACUGCUUCUAGCACUAAUAUUGUUGGAAGUUGACGUUACCUUCAGAAGAAGCACCGGCUAACUCCGUGCCAGCAGCCGCGGAAUACGGAGGGUGGGCAAGCGUUAAUCGGAAUUACUGGGCGUAAAGCGCGCGUAGGCGGCUAGAUCAGUCGGGUGUGAAAGCCCCGGGCUUAACCUGGGAACUGCAUCCGAUACUGUCUAGCUUGAGUACAGGAGAGGAGAGUGGAAUUCCACAUGUAGCGGUGAAAUGCGUAGAUAUGUGGAGGAACACCAAUGGCGAAGGCAGCUCUCUGGCCUGAUACUGACGCUGAGGUGCGAAAGCGUGGGGAGCAAACAGGAUUAGAUACCCCGGUAGUC
rnacentral:rRNA from 1 species